rnacentral:rRNA from 1 species
AGUCGAGCGGACCGACGGGAGCUUGCUCCCUUAGGUCAGCGGCGGACGGGUGAGUAACACGUGGGUAACCUGCCUGUAAGACUGGGAUAACUCCGGGAAACCGGGGCUAAUACCGGAUGCUUGAUUGAACCGCAUGGUUCAAUCAUAAAAGGUGGCUUUUAGCUACCACUUACAGAUGGACCCGCGGCGCAUUAGCUAGUUGGUGAGGUAACGGCUCACCAAGGCGACGAUGCGUAGCCGACCUGAGAGGGUGAUCGGCCACACUGGGACUGAGACACGGCCCAGACUCCUACGGGAGGCAGCAGUAGGGAAUCUUCCGCAAUGGACGAAAGUCUGACGGAGCAACGCCGCGUGAGUGAUGAAGGUUUUCGGAUCGUAAAACUCUGUUGUUAGGGAAGAACAAGUACCGUUCGAAUAGGGCGGUACCUUGACGGUACCUAACCAGAAAGCCACGGCUAACUACGUGCCAGCAGCCGCGGUAAUACGUAGGUGGCAAGCGUUGUCCGGAAUUAUUGGGCGUAAAGCGCGCGCAGGCGGUUUCUUAAGUCUGAUGUGAAAGCCCCCGGCUCAACCGGGGAGGGUCAUUGGAAACUGGGGAACUUGAGUGCAGAAGAGGAGAGUGGAAUUCCACGUGUAGCGGUGAAAUGCGUAGAGAUGUGGAGGAACACCAGUGGCGAAGGCGACUCUCUGGUCUGUAACUGACGCUGAGGCGCGAAAGCGUGGGGAGCGAACAGGAUUAGAUACCCUGGUAGUCCACGCCGUAAACGAUAAGUGCUAAGUGUUAGAGGGUUUCCGCCCUUUAGUGCUGCAGCAAACGC